GAUGAACGCUAGCUACAGGCUUAACACAUGCAAGUCGAGGGGUAACGAGAGGAAAGCUUGCUUUCCUUGUCGACGACCGGCGCACGGGUGAGUAACGCGUAUCCAACCUGCCCCCAACUAGGGAAUAACCUUGCGAAAGUAAGACUAAUACCCUAUAAUUUCCUCAGAUGACAUCUGACGAGGAAUAAAGAUUUAUCGGUUGUGGAUGGGGAUGCGUCUGAUUAGCUUGUUGGCGGGGUAACGGCACACCAAGGCACCGAUCAGUAGGGGUUCUGUGAGUAGGGUCCCCCACAUUGGAGCUGAGACAGGAUGCAAUCUCCUGCGGGAGGCAGCAGUGCGGAAUAUUGGUCAAUGGGCGUAAGCCUGAACCAGCCAAGUAGCGUGGAGGAUGACGGCCCUAUGGGUUGUAAACUGCUUUUAUACAGGAAUAAAGUUAGCCACGUGUGGUUAUUUGUAGGUACUGUAUGAAUAAGGACCGGCUAAUUCCGUGCCAGCCGCCGCCGUAA
rnacentral:rRNA from 1 species